rnacentral:lncRNA from 1 species
AAUCAAAAAAUUAAACCAACAUCAUGCUUAAUCAAGGAGAUAAGUACAUUGGUAGUCUUGCAUUUAAUUUUAGAACAAAUGGCCAAAAUAAAUUAGUUGUGAAAAUAACCUCUUCUAUUGCAAGAGAAACAAAGAACCUAUAUUAACCUUAUUCAUUCAACCUUAACUAAAACUCCAUAUGCAAAAGUCUAAGCAAGACUACAACUGUAAAUGACACCAUUUAGUUUAAAAAUGAAAUCAAAAGUAUGACCAAAUAGUGGUCAAUGACUGAAAAGGGUUAGUUGGGCAACAAACAAAGGGUCAAACGAAGCUGCACGGUUCAAAAUAUAAUACAUGCUCGUUUCCCACAACCACACCACUGAUGGAUACUCCCUACAACCACACAUCUGAGGGCCAAGCAGAAUUAUAUCCUAAGCCUUGGCACAAGACUAAAGAUGCUUGGCGCAGUUUAAUUAACUAACACACAUUCAUGACAUUAUCCAAUAUUCAAAAGUAUACAAGAAUGAAACUGCUAACAUUUUCAAACACCAUUGCUUUCAUUCUAACUUCAUUUAUAGGAGUUUACAUGGCCUGAAAGUAACCUGGACAGCAGAAAGAAGAAGAAAAUUCAGCAAAUCAACUAUUUCCAGAUUACAGCAGAACAAGCAGCAAUAAAGCAACACAACAGCAACCAACAACUCCUAGACCAAAGAAAAUGGACCAGAUAUGACCAACAAAGCAAUUGAAACCAGAAAUGAGUCCCUCUGGAAAUUCCUCACAAGAUUCCUCUAUUUUCUUGAAGGUUUUGCACUUGAAAAAUCAUUCACUCUAGCUCAAAAUUUU